GGGAGGAGGAGAGGGAAGACUGCGAGGUCAGCAGCAUCUUUAUGGAUGGCAGAGAGAAUGUGAGGAGAACCAUCAAAAGGAUUUAACACCGAGCUGCUCCUUUGACAACCCUGCAUUACAGCCUGCAGCCAUGCCACAGCUGGGCUCAGCCCUUCCCUGGCUGGGUAGGAGAGAUGAUUUUUUUCAGUUGGGCUCUGACGUUGAUGUUGCAAUGCUCUUUGAUAGCCAAGAACACAAGGACUGACUUCAGGAGCAGCUGAAACUUCAUCAGGAACCGGAGCAUAAAGAAAAGAAGGGAUGGGGAGCGGGGAAUGGCAGGAAGUGAUACUGUUGAAACGGCCCUUUGAAAUUUCCCAAAUGAUGUUUGAUCUGUGGGUCCCUUAAAGCCGCUGCGAUGCGUUCGGUAUCAAACUGAUGUGUUCCGUGGGGGAGGGAGGAGAGGGGUUUUAAUGGGGUUUUUUUUUUUUUUUUUUGGUGACGCUCAGAAGAAAUAAGUUUAAUUUUAACCUGUGUGACUCCACCUGGGUGUUUUUAACGUACGUUGAUCUGGCGUUCGCUACGAUCCUUUAAUCAUUUUUUUUUUCUUCUUGGUUUGCUUGAAUAUUCCUUUAUUUCAAAGGAACGGCAAAGAAGACACAAGGGACCAAAAGCUGAGGAAGAGAUUACUUCUGUAACGUGGCUCGUCCUCCCUUACCCACCCCCGAAAUACUGAGCCGCUGGAAAUGAAAACAUGAAAUGGAAACCCUUAGAAGAGAAGCAGGAAGGGCCCAGUUCCCCCCUAGGGAAGCCCAGUGCAGCUGCAGCGACCGCUGCCUGCUUGGGUUUUCAGACCCAUCCAGGCCAGCAGGAGCCUAUCUGACCACCUCAUCUUUUCAGAAAGCAGCAAUUGGAGCACAUUGGUUCUGCUGCCCGCUGUGCCUGCACCCCUCACCCCCAUCCAUUGCCCCUGCAGAAAGUACCGCCACCGACCAGUGGGGCUGGAUGGGGAGGAGUGUGCUUGCUUCUGCAAAUAACAGUGUGUGCAAAUGCCAGGAUUCCACUGAAAGUUUGCAGAAAGGGAACGCUGCUGCUGCCCAACCUCUCUGCUUAGUGGACAGGUUUUGCACAGACAGCAUUUCUCACGCAGCGUUGGCGUGCUUUGCACGCGUUGAGUCCCGGCCCAGUGUCUGUAACCAGCACUGCACAGACUCAGCCAGCCUGCAGGCACUGGUGGGGCACAGGGGCUGAGGGAUGGCAUGAAGCCU